rnacentral:lncRNA from 1 species
CCGCGUCUCGCCGCUCCGACCAUGGUUGCUGGGCCGCCCCCCGCCCCGCUUCCCCCCGCUGCGGGGCCGCCCCGCCGCUGAGCGCCCCUGCCCGCCCCGGGGAAGGAGCCGGCGCUGCCCGGGCGACCUCCAUCGCCCGCUCUCCCGGGAGGUGGGGGCCCCACACUGCCUCUUCACCCGACGGUGCCCGGGCCGGGACUCCCACUGCCCGCAGCGGGCAGCGGGGAGGGCGAGGAUGUCGGGCAGCACGGCGAGGAAGGUGCAGCCCUUCACCAUCAGCACAAGGCUCUCGGUGCCCAAGUGUGCCGCGGACUUCCCCAGAGACGCCUGCCCCGGCAUCGCCCUCGCCUCCGCGCUGGACAGCCACCGCGGCCUCCGUCGCAGCAUCAACGAGCGCAUCUCCCUCUACCUGGCCCACGCCCGGGCCGGUCCCGCCGCUCACGCAGGGCAGCCCCGCAGCCCCAGCCCCGGUGAGGACGGGGGCCCCGACGAGGACCGGCUGAACCGCAGCUCCCUAGCCCGCUCCAUUAAGAAGAUCACGCUGUCCAACUGGUACGGGGACUCUGGCACGGGAGGGGCAGGGGGACCCGGGGACCCUGCCCGCGCCAGCGGCGAAAGGAACCACAACAACAACAACAGCAGGACAGGGAAAGCUCAAUUCAAGGUCUUCCUCAGGAAGGAUGUGGAUGCAGAUGACAAGCAGCAGGAGCCUGGGAGUGUUCAGGCCAGUGUUUUCUGCUCUCCUGUGGGCAGGUGCUCUCCCUUCUAUGCGCUGGCAGGAUCCCCGGUGUCAUCACCCCAGAAAGAGAGCCCUAAGGGCAAGGAGUCUGCCGCAGCACCAAGAUGCAGUGGGCGAAGUGGUGUGGGAGCAGCCCCUCUCCUUGACCUGAGUCCUCUGAUAGCCAAGUUCAACCGGGAGAUGCUGCAGGUGAGGCCAGCUGGGGCCCUCUCCCAAGGGCCUGCAUAGGAAGUGGAAUGGAGGGCCAUCGGCAGCUUUCUUGUGAG